rnacentral:rRNA from 1 species
AGUGAACGCUGGCGGUAGGCCUAACACAUGCAAGUCGAACGGCAGCACAGUAAGAGCUUGCUCUUACGGGUGGCGAGUGGCGGACGGGUGAGGAAUACAUCGGAAUCUACUUUUUCGUGGGGGAUAACGUAGGGAAACUUACGCUAAUACCGCAUAUGACCUACGGGUGAAAGCAGGGGAUCUUCGGACCUUGCGCGAUUGAAUGAGCCGAUGUCGGACUAGCUAGUUGGCGGGGUAAAGGCCCACCAAGGCGACGAUCCGUAGCUGGUCUGAGAGGAUGAUCGGCCACACUGGAACUGAGACACGGUCCAGACUCCUACGGGAGGCAGCAGUGGGGAAUAUUAGGCAAUGGGGGCAAGCCUGAUCCAGCCAUACCGCGUGGGUGAAGAAGGCCUUCGGGUUGUAAAGCCCUUUUUUUGGGAAAGAAAAGCAGCAGGUUGAUACCCCGCUGUUCUGACGGUACCCAAAGAAUAAGCACCGGCUAACUUCGUG